rnacentral:tRNA from 1 species
GCCCCUAUCGUCUAGAGGCCUAGGACGAAGCCCUCUCAAGGCUUAGACCGGGGUUCGAAUCCCCGUAGGGGCACC